CAAGCGGAUCUACUGUUGCUGAAAGUUUGCAGAGAAGUUUGAGAGAAAGGCAAAGAGAGCGGAAAUGAAAGCUUGUCAGUAGACAUGAGCAAAUACUUUGUUCUCUUCUCUGAAUCACCUGAUGGCUACUGUCCAUACCUUCAAAACCUUCUUCCCAACCUAUCACUAACCACCCACUUGCUGUCACAGCACAACGCAUUACCAAAA